UACAAAUAGUCACCCCCGCCAAGCCAACCCCAGCGCAGGCUGAAUUAAUGUGUUGCUAUUUUUGGGAGCCCCGUGUUUCCAGGGGAGACCUAAUGACGCAAUGACGUCAAUGCGGGUCAAUCGCAGACUGGAGGAAUUGAGUGGCUUCCAUUUGGGGCUUUUGCAGUAUUUCCUACAGAAAGGAUGGAAACGAGUAGAAAAUGGAAGUAUAUUUCCUCCAAAAAUGCAUCGAAAAUAGAGGUGAAUCAAAAUACAGAAGUGAAAAUGAUCACAGUGGCAUCACGUCGCCCCAACCCUUCGAGCAUCAGCGAUAGUAAGGGAGAUACUGGACCAACUGUGUAUGACGGUGACCACGAUUUCAGCUGAGCGCUGUUGUUCUUUUCAGGUCUUUUUGCGGUCUGGGCUUGCUGUCAUGUGUCUAUCCAGGAAGCCCUUACCCCAAAAAGCAUCUGCAAGGGAUCCUUACAUCAAAGACAAUUUGCACACAAUUCUCAUUUGACAAUGACUCAGUUUGUAAUGUAAGUGUAUACAACUGUUAAAAUAAUGUUUAACUUGUAGUGCAUGUUUAAGUAGUCAUUUAGCAAUAAAGUAAUUAUGGUGCAUAAUUUAAACCGUGUUAAUUGUAAAAGAAAUAAAAAAAAAACACUGAGCAUGAAUCUAGUGGUUCACAUAUUGGUCUUCAUUAAACCACAGUAGGACUGCUUUUUCUAUGAAUGGAAUUGCCAAAUUAAACUUUAAAAUAUAAAUUACUCCCAGAUUAUUUAGAGUGAUUGAGAACAAAAGCUUUCUAUGUCCCGGGCAGAGGCAUUACUACAGCUUUAAAUUUGUCUGUUGCAUUUUAUACUUUCUCCAGAAGGUGGCAGCAUUGCUCAGGCAUUUUGAUUAGAAAUCUCACUAAACGCCAUACAGAGGUGUUCGAUUAUGCAAUCCUUUAAAUUUAACUUCUUUUAAUAAAAAAUAGUGCGCCACUAUAUCAGUCAACAGCUAUAACUACACUAUGAGCUACUUGUAAUAUUUAUGUAUUCGAACAUAUGUUUGGUAGGACUGUACUGUACUGUACACUUAGAAGUUUGUCCAGAAAGUGAGACACUGCUGUCUCUCGUAAUACUGUUUUGUUUAUUCUACAAUUUGCGUCAGUGUAGAAAGUGAAUAAUGUACUCCUUUGUAAACCCCCAGCAUAAUAAAACACUUAUGCUGAAA